rnacentral:tRNA from 1 species
CGGACCGUGGCGCAGCCUGGUAGCGCGUCCGCCUGGGGGGCGGAAGGUCGCGGGUUCGAACCCCGCCGGUCCGACCA